rnacentral:rRNA from 1 species
AAAUUAAAAAAUUUGGCGGUAUUUUAGUCUUUUCAGAGGAACCUGUUCUAUAAUUGAUAGUCCACGAUUAAUUGUACUUACUUUAGAAAUUUAUAUAUCGUCGUAGUUUGAAUGUUUUAUAAGAAUUAAUAAUGUUCAUGAUUUAUAAUUAUAAAAGAAAUCAGAUCAAGGUGUAGUUUAUAGGUAAGAAGAAAUGGGUUACAAUUAAUUUAUUAAUGAAUAAUUUUAUGAGAUUGAAAUUUGAAAUUGGAUUUGAAAGUAAAUUUAAAUAUUUUUUUAGAUUGAUUUAAGCUCUAAAAUAUGUACAUAUUGCCCGUCACUUUCGUUUUAAAAUGAGAUAAGUCGUAACAAAGUAGAUUUACUGGAAAGUGAAUCUAGAAG